UAUUUUGUCAUUUUUCUUUCUAGUCGUGAUCUGAGCGUGCGAAUGGGGGCAUUUCUGUAAGAAUUGGAUUACACAAGAUGUUUUUUUUUUUAUUUGUGUAUUUUGUCGAGUUCUCCAUUAUUUUGUGAGAAUUUAUUCGGAAUUCGCAGCAAUCGACCACAAUUGGUUCUAUCUCCUUUUUUGAAUAAUUUAUGCAGUGUUUUUUUUUUAACGGAAAUGCAUGGCCUUUUAAUGGAGUUUAACUGUAAAUGUAAUACUACGGCAAACAGGAAGAACCUCGGCUACUACGAGGAUAGAGAUGUACUUUUGCAUUUAAUUAAAGGUCUAAUCCAGAGGGAUUAAAAUGACUGGCGUAUCUCAGACUCUAGCGCAUCGGAUUAUUCACUCCAUCCGUGUUACGACGAGAAUGAUGGUUAUAAACGGCGGGAUUUCCUGAUAUCUUCCUAAUGGCCUCCUUUCUAAACGCCUCAUAAGGGUUUUUUCCUCCCCCAAGCACAUUUAAAACCAUUUCUGUGGUUUGUUGUGCUGGCAGAACCCGUAACGAUUCAAUGUAGGUUUUUAUAACAGAGAUUUUCACUUUUAUGAAGCCAUGUAAAGAAUAAUCCAGGAAGCCUUUUAUUCUAACCGUGUAUUUCAUUUGGAAAAACAAUGUUCUCUGUGUUCAGUUUGCUUCUGGAAAGUUGUCACUUAUCAAGACUACACUGUAUAGCGUCUUAAUAAUAUGACUUUUUAAACCUUUAUACAUAUCAUACGUCUUGUGUUUAGAAAGUUAUACACUAUAUUGCCAAAAGUAUUCGCUCACCCAUCCAAAUAAUCAGAAUCAGGUGUUCCAAUCACUUCCAUGGCCACAGGUGUAUAAAAUCAAGCACCUAGGCAUGCAGACUGUUUUUACAAACAUUUGUGAAAGAAUGGGUUGCUCUCAGGAGCUCAGUGAAUUCCAGCGUGGAACUGUGAUAGGAUGCCACCUGUGCAACAAAUCCAGUCGUGAAAUUUCCUCGCUCCUAAAUAUUCCACAGUCAACUGUCAGCUGUAUUAUAAGAAAGUGGAAGUGUUUGGGAACGACAGCAACUCAGCCACGAAGUGGUAGGCCACGUAAACUGACGGAGCGGGGUCAGCGGAUGCUGAGGCACAUAGUGCGAAGAGGUCGCCAACUUUCUGCAGAGUCAGUCACUACAGACCUCCAAACUUCAUGUGGCCUUCAGAUUAGCUCAAGAACAGUGCGCAGAGAGCUUCAUGGAAUGGGUUUCCAUGGCCGAGCAGCUGCAUCCAAGCCAUACAUCACCAAGUGCAAUGCAAAGCGUUGGAUGCAGUGGUGUAAAGCACGCCGCCACUGGACUCUAGAGCAGUGGAGACGCGUUCUCUGGAGUGACGAAUCGCGCUUCUCCAUCUGGCAAUCUGAUGGACGAGUCUGGGUUCGCCGGUUGCCAGGAGAACGGUACUUGUCUGACUGCAUUGUGCCAAGUGUAAAGUUUGGUGGAGGGGGGAUUAUGGUGUGGGGUUGUUUUUCAGGAGCUGGCCUUGGCCCCUUAGUUCCAGUGAAAGGAACUCUGAAUGCUUCAGCAUACCAAGACAUUUUGGACAAUUCCAUGCUCCCAACUUUGUGGGAACAGUUUGGAGCUGGCCCCUUCCUCUUCCAACAUGACUGUGCACCAGUGCACAAAGCAAGGUCCAUAAAGACAUGGAUGACAGAGUCUGGUGUGGAGGAACUUGACUGGCCUGCACAGAGUCCUGACCUCAACCCGAUAGAACACCUUUGGGAUGAAUUAGAGCGGAGACUGAGAGCCAGGCCUUCUCGUCCAACAUCAGUGUGUGACCUCACAAAUGUGCUUCUGGAAGAAUGGUCAAAAAUUCCCAUAAACACACUCCUAAACCUUGUGGACAGCCUUCCCAGAAGAGUUGAAGCUGUUAUAGCUGCAAAGGGUGGACCGACGUCAUAUUGAACCCUAUGGAUUAGGAAUGGGAUGUCACUUAAGUUCAUAUGCGAGUCAAGGCAGGUGAGCGAAUACUUUUGGCAAUAUAGUGUAUGUUUUUUCUCUGAUUGUGAGGGAAACAGAGUCUUGCUAAGGGUUAUUCUCUUGACUGUAUGCUCUAGAGAAAUCUAGGUCCAAAUUCAACACAAAAGCUCCAUCAGAUGAUAGUAAAUGAAUUUCCAAAUUCUCCAUAUUUUUCCCUAUUACUCUCUAUUCUGGCCUUCUCUAUUAUUAUUAUUAUUAUUAUUAUUAUUAUUAUUAUUAUUAUUAUUAUUAUUAUUAUUAUUAUUAAGGCUUGUGGGUGUGCUGUGAUAGGAAAAUGAUCAACGAUAGGUUUGUUUCAUCUUAUUAAAGGUUAAGUUUUAUCUUCUAAUUAUUAAUCUUGGGUUAUGUGGAUAGUUUGCGGUACUGUUAUAGAAAAUUCCGACCAAUCAGAUUUCAGGAUUCAUCAGCACCGUCGUUAAAUAUAUCCUCCUCCUUUCCCAAUGGUUUAUAAACUCACUCUUUGCUUCUAUGACUCCGCUUAUACUCUCAAAGCAGUUUUUAGAGACUUUGUUGUGUUUGUAAAUAUUGGCACCCCGUACCUUUUUGCCGCUCAUUCACUCACUCCAGCAUUUAUUUUUUCUGUUUUUGAGAGGGUGCCGAGUUAUUUCGCCACUUUCUAAAUGACGCAGGUUGAUGUUUGUCCUCUCCGUGUGUUUGUGAACGUACUGGCAGUGUUGCCCUUUUUUUUCCCCCCUCCAGAUCCAUUUUGUGUGUUUUAACUGCACUUAUCUGCAUCCUGUUUGUCUUUCCAUUCUUACCAUUCAGGUUGUUUUCUGCUGUCUGGUUCUGGCCUGUUACUGUCAGAGAAUUUUUAUUAUUAUUAUUAUUAUUAUUAUUAUUAUUAUCUUUUAGACCGUCCCAUGCCGUGAUGCAGUCUCCACAACGGAGCUUGUUGUAAAAGGCGGCUAAUUGAAUUUAAGCCGAGGAAUCUAUUGAAUUCUCGGAAUCAUGGCUAGGGUUUUUGUAACGGAGGUUAAGUAUGUACUUACAGAACAUCAUAUUAUACUCAACGUAUUUUAUGUGCAGCUGUAGGGAGGAGGGAUCUUGUAACUCAGGAUCUUUUGGGACUUUUCCACCAGCUUGUUUGGACGUGCUAUGCUCUGGUGUGCCUCAUCAGCAUAACGCUGUGGUGUUAUCGGAUAUCGAGCCUCAGGUCUCGGAUAAUGUAGUACAUUUGAGGAGUUGUCAGUUCCGCCAGUGUUGGCUGAAGAAGUGAGAAGCAGAUAAUAAGGAGGAGCACUGGAGGGGUGUGUAGAUUUCCAGUCUUUGAUUACUGGUGGCUGUGUGGAUUCGACCAACCAAAGCUUAGCUCUCUUGUACAUGACGCUCGGUCAGCAAGAUGUAUCUAAAGUUCUUCUAGGUCCCCUUUCUCCAUACACGAUCGAGUUCCUUCGGCACAUCCGGGACUUCUUUCAG